rnacentral:rRNA from 1 species
GAUGAACGCUGGCGGCGUGCUUAACACAUGCAAGUCGAACGGAAAGGCUCCUGCUUGCCGGGGUACUCGAGUGGCGAACGGGUGAGUAACACGUGGGUGAUCUGCCCUGCACUUCGGGAUAAGCUUGGGAAACUGGGUCUAAUACCGGAUAGGACCGCAUUAUGGAUGGUGUGGUGGAAAGUUUUUUCGGUGUGGGAUGAGCUCGCGGCCUAUCAGCUUGUUGGUGGGGUAAUGGCCUACCAAGGCGUCGACGGGUAGCCGGCCUGAGAGGGUGUACGGCCACAUUGGGACUGAGAUACGGCCCAGACUCCUACGGGAGGCAGCAGUGGGGAAUAUUGCACAAUGGGCGCAAGCCUGAUGCAGCGACGCCGCGUGGGGGAUGACGGCCUUCGGGUUGUAAACUCCUUUCGCUAGGGACGAAGAGUAAUUGACGGUACCUGGAGAAGAAGCACCGGCUAACUACGUG